GUCGAACGAAGCAUAUAAAAGGAAUUUCUUCGGAGAGGAAUUUUAUCUUACUGAGUGGCGGACGGGUGAGUAACGCGUGGGCAACCUACCCCACACAGGGGGACAACAGUUGGAAACGACUGCUAAUACCGCAUAGGCGCACAGCUUCGCAUGAAGCAGUGUGGAAAACCGAGGUGGUGUGGGAUGGGCCCGCGUCUGAUUAGCUGGUUGGCGGGGUAACGGCCCACCAAGGCGACGAUCAGUAGCCGGCCUGAGAGGGUGGACGGCCACAUUGGGACUGAGACACGGCCCAAACUCCUACGGGAGGCAGCAGUGGGGAAUAUUGCACAAUGGGGGAAACCCUGAUGCAGCGACGCCGCGUGAGCGAAGAAGUAUUUCGGUAUGUAAGCUCUAUCAGCAGGGAAGAAAAUGACGGUACCUGACUAAGAAGCCCCGGCUAAAUACGUGCCAGCAGCCGCGGUAAUACGUAUGGGGCAAGCGUUAUCCGGAUUUACUGGGUGUAAAGGGAGCGCAGGCGGCUUGGCAAGUCUGAUGUGAAAGGCUGGGGCUCAACCCCAGGACUGCAUUGGAAACUGUUAGGCUGGAGUGUCGGAGAGGUAAGCGGAAUUCCUAGUGUAGCGGUGAAAUGCGUAGAUAUUAGGAGGAACACCAGUGGCGAAGGCGGCUUACUGGACGACAACUGACGCUGAGGCUCGAAAGCGUGGGGAGCAAACAGGAUUAGAUACCCUGGUAGUCCACGCCGUANACGAUGAAUACUAGGUGUCGGUGGGCAANGCCCAUCGGUGCCGCAGCAAACGCAGUAAGUAUUCCACCUGGGGAGUACGUUCGCAAGAAUGAAACUCAA
rnacentral:rRNA from 1 species